rnacentral:rRNA from 1 species
UACGUAGGGGGCUAGCGUUAUCCGGAAUUACUGGGCGUAAAGGGUGCGUAGGCGGUCUUUCAAGCCAGAAGUGAAAGGCUACGGCUCAACCGUAGUAAGCUUUUGGAACUGUAAGACUUGAGUGCAGGAGAGGAGAGUGGAAUUCCUAGUGUAGCGGUGAAAUGCGUAGAGAUUAGGAAGAACACCAGUGGCGAAGGCGAUUCUCUGGACUGUAACUGACGCUGAGGCUCGAAAGCGUGGGGAGCAAACAGGAUUAGAUACCCGGGUAGUCCCUGAG